UACGGAGGGUGCAAGCGUUGUUCGGAAUCACUGGGCGUAAAGCGCGUGUAGGCGGCUAUUUAAGUCUGAUGUGAAAGCCCUGGGCUUAACCCAGGAAGUGCAUUGGAUACUGGGUAGCUCGAGUACCGGAGAGGGGGGUGGAAUUCCUGGUGUAGCGGUGAAAUGCGUAGAUAUCAGGAGGAACACCGGUGGCGAAGGCGUCCCUCUGGCCGGAUACUGACGCUGAGACGCGAAAGCGUGGGGAGCAAACAGG
rnacentral:rRNA from 1 species